AUAGUUAAACAACUUUAUUAACAUAGUCAAGCAGUGAUUAACAUUCACAUCUAUUAUGUCACAUCAUACAAAUGUAAAUACAAAAUUACUACAGUACAAUAUAUAUUCUCUGCAUGAUCCAAAAUAUUUGGUGGCCCCAAAAAACUCUCUUUAAAAUUCAGCAGCUUAUCAAAAAUUAAAACCGUAUUCUAUUUAAAAUGAAGAUCUGUUAGCACAGAGUUUGACUUCAAGAAAUAUCAAUUUAGUACAGUUUGAGAAGUUGCAGGAGGAUAUGUUUGAAGGACACAUUC
rnacentral:lncRNA from 1 species